UGAAGAUUUUUUUUUCAUACUUUGGUGCAUUGUUAACGAGAAUCAGUGUUGAUUUCAUAUACGAGAACGAAGGGAUUUUAUCGUCUUGCGGAACGCGUAUCGAUACGGAACGAGGAACGUGAUCGGCAGGCCGUGAAAAUAUGAACAACAAAAGAGCCUUAUCCACUGUACACGAGAGAAUGCAAGUAAUGAUGAAGGUAUUCUAAUUAAGUGUUCGAAGUACAAAUAUGCGUCCUGCAUAAUUGAUUUUUUUAUUUUUAACGAGCGUUUAAGUUGCCAAAUACCGGAAGAAACAUCUUAGUCGCGUGUAUCUUCUCUCGCUCUUUCUCUUUCUUUUUUUCUCUUUCGAGGACGAAAGUUCGAGUUCGCAAGUUUGGACAUUUCAAGGUUCUCCGAAAAUGCCUUCCUAUCUUUUAUUCUUUUUUAUACUUGCGUUCGGUCACGCUUCUUCGUAUGGCUUUUAUCGAUUAAAAAACAUAUGACCAUACGAAUUUGAAGAAAUAUUUUAGUCAUCGACGAAUUUACAAGGAUAUCUUUUCAGCGAGUAUUUAUAUUUACAUUUACGAUCUAUGUAAAUGGAAAUUUGAAUAAUAUUCUGUAAUGUGGGAUAUUUUACUCUCAAAUGGACUAUGGUGUCGCAGUAUCCGCGCAGAAACAAGACAGGACCUAGGACAAGGAGGAGGGUGCGCUCAGUAUUGAUUUUAGGGCUACCAACAGUUCUUCCAUAGAGCCAGGACACAUGUUCUCAAACAAGGACGAUAUACCCCGCUUUGUCCCGUAGAGAGAUUUUAAUCCGGCCCAUGUGCGUAUCCAAAACGAAUCCCUGAUCGAAUUCAUCAUCACGAUAUAAAGGCGCCUAGGGGAGAUAAUUCAAGAAAGAAGAUGAAAGAAAGGAAGGAAGGGAAAACGGAGGGGGAAUAGAGGUCGAUCAUCGAUCUUCCUAUGAAAGUUUGCCGAUGAGAAUCCUCACGAAAUAACAAUGUUCUCGCUCUUUUUCUUCGUUGCAUUCCACCAACACAUUUUGUCAUUGUACGACAAAAUGUCAUUCUAGUUAACUCGGGAUUUGAACUUGGGGACCCGCAUAUCCUGUGUAGUGUUUUCAUCAAUUAAACUACCCAAGACUCCAGAGUUUCCAUUCCUUUGUAACCUUUUAAGAUUAUUAUAAUAGUUUAGAAAAUAUAAGUAUCAUAGACUAUAUAGUGAAUAAAAUAAAAGUCUCAUUAAAUGUAACAUAGGAAAUGAGUAAGAGCUAAGUAUACCAUAUAUUUUGAUUGAAUUUCGUAUGAUGACAAAAUCAUUGUUUUUCAAAAGAAAGACCAAUGCGAUAAUAAACAUACAAAGUCUACUACAUUCUAUAAUCGUGUUCAGAUUGACAACGCAUGCGAUGCGACAAUGUUGUAUUUGUUAGUUGCAAUGUUUGAAAUUAAAAUUAGUUUGUUUUUUAUCGAAAUGCACGCAUGUCUUGUCGAUGUGACAAAGAAAAUAUUCUAAUGCUUCGUACUACUUUUAUUCUAUAUCUAUCUAUUACUAUGAGCAUCCGUAACGAAACAUGCAUUAGAUAAAAGUUGAAUGGUUUCGAACGGGGAUUCUGAUGUUAUUAGUUUUUUUUUCUAGAAG